rfam:Oryza meridionalis cultivar OR44 (W2112) chromosome 1, whole genome shotgun sequence.
NNNNNGUUUAUGCCCAACGUUUAACCGUCCAUAUUAUUUGAAAAAUAAUAUGAUUAGUAUUUUUAUUGUUAUUAGAUGAUAAAACAUGAAUAGUACUUCAUGUGAACUAUUUUUUAAAAAAAUUUAAAAUAAGAAAGACGACCAAACGUUGGACACGAAAACCCACAGUUGUACUUAAA